rnacentral:rRNA from 1 species
AUCAGGAAUUUUUGGUGGGGAGAUGAGGAAGAUCCAAGAAAAACACAUUGGUUAGCUUGGGACAAAUUAACAACGUCUAAAGGUAAGGGAGCUAUGGGAUUCCGGGAUCUCAGAUUAUUUAACCAGGCCCUCUUAGCCAAACAAGCAUGGAGGUUAUUGGUUCAUCCGGAUUCAUUGUGUGCUAAGCUGAUGAAGGCAAAGUAUUACCCACAUGGGCAUAUUCUUGAUACAGUGUUUCCUCAGUCUGCAUCAGUGACUUGGCAAGGUAUUAUGCAUGGUCUGGAUUUGCUUAAGAAUGGUGUCAUUUGGCGGGUGGGUGAUGGAUCUAGCAUUAAUAUUUGGAUGGAUAACUGGUUACCCAGGAGCACUGGACUUAAGAUUUCAGCUAAAAGGCAUAAUACUAGAUUGAAGUGGGUAUCUGAUUUGUUCUUGAGUGGGAGAAAGGCAUGGGAUGAAAAUUUGAUCAAGUAUCUUUUCUAUCCCCAUGAUGCAGAGGAGGUUCUCAAGAUUCGUAUUCAUGCUUAUGGGGAUGGGGAUUUUAUUGCGUGGCACUAUGAGAAUAACGGUAUAUUUUCCGUUAAAAGUGCGUACAAAUUUAGCACUUAA